GAUGAACGCUGGCGGCGUGCCUAAUACAUGCAAGUCGAGCGAACGGACGAGAAGCUUGCUUCUCUGAUGUUAGCGGCGGACGGGUGAGUAACACGUGGAUAACCUACCUAUAAGACUGGGAUAACUUCGGGAAACCGGAGCUAAUACCGGAUAAUAUUUUGAACCGCAUGGUUCAAAAGUGAAAGACGGUCUUGCUGUCACUUAUAGAUGGAUCCGCGCUGCAUUAGCUAGUUGGUAAGGUAACGGCUUACCAAGGCAACGAUGCAUAGCCGACCUGAGAGGGUGAUCGGCCACACUGGAACUGAGACACGGUCCAGACUCCUACGGGAGGCAGCAGUAGGGAAUCUUCCGCAAUGGGCGAAAGCCUGACGGAGCAACGCCGCGUGAGUGAUGAAGGUCUUCGGAUCGUAAAACUCUGUUAUUAGGGAAGAACAUAUGUGUAAGUAACUGUGCACAACUUGACGGUACCUAAUCAGAAAGCCACGGCUAACUACGUG
rnacentral:rRNA from 1 species